rnacentral:tRNA from 1 species
GGCCUUGUGGUCUAGUGGUAUGAUUCUCGCUAAGGGUGCGAGAGGUCCCAGAUUCGAUCUCCGGCAAGGCCC